ensembl:lncRNA novel transcript
AAGUCCACAGCAGCGCAGCAGCCAGGGGUCAUUAGCCAGUCCAUCUUGCAAAGUCAUCAGUCUCAAAGACUGGUUCUUAAACAAGUGAGCCCAGCCCUUUUCCCGGCACUAAACUUCUAGCUGAUGAAGAGCUCCUGGCCAUUGGGUACAGGGAUCCCCGCAAGGCUCAGGCGACGCUCUGAUGCCAGAAUACUGAGAGGGGAAUUCAAAAUGAACACCUAACCAGAACCAUCCUGCCCAUGGACUCUUUCAGCCACAGUCACAAUUGAUGACUAGUUCUAAGAAGAAAUGGCUCUUGAACUGUUCCGGGGAGUGGAGGAUGAGACGACUUUUGAGUUCUUAAGUGGGGCUUGAAUGUUACUUUUGGAGCAAAAGUAGUCCAGGAGGUACCUCUCAAAAAAUGGCUGGAGCUAGAUACUCCCUGCUUUGCAAACUGCAACACGCCCUGGCUGACGAGUCCAGUCUGCUCAUAUACAGCUCUUUCUUAUCUAACAUUUUACCUAACAAUUUUCUUUUCCACAUUUGCAAGGAUGGCUCCCUUUUUACUUGUUGACAGGGGUUGUGCAGGCUGGAGAGUUGGUGUCUUAGCUGCCCAUUAACCUUGUUGGAAAACACACUCACUUCACUUGUAUCAAAGAGUUGCUGGAAUAACUGAUGAAAGAAUGCAAGAAAUAAAUAGUUAUUCAUAGGAA